UUGGUCGCCGCCUUUUUCUCCCCCCGCGCGCGCUACUCACUUCGCAUCGCGCCUCAUCUCACACCGCAGAUAAUUCAAAAUCAAAGUGGAAAUUUAUUCUCUCUCUCUCUCUCUCUCUCUCUCGUCUGUAUCGAAAAAUCGCGUAUGUAUCGUAAAUUCGUUUUCUUGCACUGACAGUUCCUUCGCUAUGCUACUGUACGACGUGACAGAUAGGCGAAUAUUGUUCUCUCGCGACGCGUUCGCGGAAGAAAAGUUCUGGCGAUCGAAAUAUUUAACAGAGUAAUAUGCGAGUAAUAUUCGUUAAAAUUGUCUCAUUUCUACGCGAUAGUCUUUCGAGAGACAAGGCUCUUCGCGAUUCUUCGAUUAUAAAUUGGAUCAUUGAACACACACACACACACAGGAUUUCCGCCGGAUUUCCCUCGUAACAUUCGAAGAGAUUCGAGGCUGCACGAAAGGCACGCGUCCUUCUUGAAAUUCGUCGAAGUUCAAGUACGUCACGCGUCACGUGAUGCAUGUAUGCCAACCGCGAGCGUCUAAAAUUUGUACAUUAGUCGUUAAGAUUCGAAAAUACGUACAUCGCGCGCCUCGGCGAAAGUGUCUCGUUCACUUCGAUCGUUAAUCGAGUGCAUUCAUUCACGGGAUUUCGCGUUCGUGUUUACAUCUCUCGCGUCGCCGUCCACACCGCGAUGGAAUUGCGAGGGCGCGAGGGAGGGAGAACGACAACAAUGCGCGAUGAGACGAGCGGUGACGAGCUGUUGAGACGUAGGAGUUGAGAAGGACGACGAAGCAAAGUACGCUUACGUUACAUUCAUACGUAUCAUAUAUAGUUUUGCGUGACACGAGAGUACUCUCGCCACGCGAUACGAUACGACAGGUGACGUCGCCGAAGGAUGGGAAGCGAGCUCUCCGUUCCUGCCCUGCUUCUGCGUCCCUCUCCCAAUCGCUCCGUCUCUUUCUAGAUAUCGUGGCAUAUCGAGAGGAUACGACGAGUGACGUGUCGGUGCGCACGAGACAUCGAACGAUGCCACGACCUCCGCAAUCCGCGGAAGGACUGUCGUCCGACCGCGUUCAUCCAUACCCCACCAUCCGACGACGCAAGGUGGAACAACGAGAGCGAGAUGGAGAAAGAGGGAGAGGAGUUUGACUGACGGAGAAGGGAUUCGAGCGAGGGUCGACAGCGACCGAGUGAGAGAGAGAGAAAGGAAAGCCACGAAGAUCUUACGAUGCACGAUGGAGAGAGAGAGAGAUGCCGAAACGGCGCCAUGGCCUGCGAGAGGGAUGCUUCCCAGGACCGUAAGCAGCCACCGCGGAUUCCGAGGUACCAUGCUUCAUCGAUCUCACCUUCUGCCGGGGAGCGUAAUUUGGCGCACCAGAGAGCCUCCGGACUCACGUAGGAUCUGCCGUUGGUACCGCAUACUGGUUGUCUAUGAUCCUCUUCCGGUAUCGAUCCGCAGGGA